AAUAUUGGACAAUGGGGGCAACCCUGAUCCAGCCAUGCCGCGUGUGUGAAGAAGGUCUUCGGAUUGUAAAGCACUUUAAGUUGGGAGGAAGGGCUUUAGGUUAAUAACCUGAAGUUUUGACGUUACCAACAGAAUAAGCACCGGCUAACUAGGUGCCAGCAGCCGCGGUAAUACAGAGGGUGCAAGCGUUAAUCGGAAUUACUGGGCGUAAAGCGCGCGUAGGUUGUUCGGCAAGAAGGAUGUGAAAUCCCAGGGCUUAACCUUGGAACUGCAUUCUUAACUGCCGGGCUAGAGUACGGUAGAGGGUAGUGGAAUUUCCUGUGUAGCGGUGAAAUGCGUAGAUAUAGGAAGGAACACCAGUGGCGAAGGCGACUACCUGGACUGAUACUGACACUGAGGUGCGAAAGCGUGGGGAGCAAACA
rnacentral:rRNA from 1 species